rnacentral:rRNA from 1 species
GGGGAAUUUUGGACAAUGGGCGAAAGCCUGAUCCAGCAAUGCCGCGUGUGUGAAGAAGGCCUUCGGGUUGUAAAGCACUUUUGUCCGGAAAGAAAUCCUCUGGGUUAAUACCUCGGGGGGAUGACGGUACCGGAAGAAUAAGCACCGGCUAACUACGUGCCAGCAGCCGCGGUAAUACGUAGGGUGCAAGCGUUAAUCGGAAUUACUGGGCGUAAAGCGUGCGCAGGCGGUUUUGUAAGACGGAUGUGAAAUCCCCGGGCUUAACCUGGGAACUGCAUUCGUGACUGCAAGGCUAGAGUAUGGCAGAGGGGGGUAGAAUUCCACGUGUAGCAGUGAAAUGCGUAGAGAUGUGGAGGAAUACCGAUGGCGAAGGCAGCCCCCUGGGCCAAUACUGACGCUCAUGCACGAAAGCGUGGGGAGCAAACA